rnacentral:rRNA from 1 species
UACGGGGGGGGCAAGCGUUGUUCGGAAUUACUGGGCGUAAAGGGCUCGUAGGCGGCCAACUAAGUCGGACGUGAAAUCCCCAGGCUCAACCUGGGAACUGCGUCCGAUACUGGAUGGCUUGAGACCGGGAGAGGGAUGCAGAAUUCCAGGUGUAGCGGUGAAAUGCGUAGAUAUCUGGAGGAAUACCGGUGGCGAAGGCGGCAUCCUGGACCGGCAUUGACGCUGAUGAGCGAAAGCUAGGGGAGCAAACGGG